ensembl:snRNA U6 U6 spliceosomal RNA
GCGCUUGCUUUGGCAGCCCAUACUGGAAAUAAAAUGAUACAGAGGAGAUUCGCGUGGCCCUUGCACAAGGAUGACAUGCAUAUCUCUGAAGCAUUCCAUAUUUUC